UUAAAUAUUUUCAUUUCAAAAGCUGAGCUCGUCCGGAGCACAUCUCAUUUCAUAGUUAAAGUAAAAGUAUAAAAAUAAAAAAAAAAUAUUUGAAAAGUUAAAAAAGUGAAAUUUUCUUAACCAAUAAAGAGGUGCUACCAGAGGCUAAACACAGGAUGUAAACAAUUAAGCAUUAAAUUCAGUUUGCACACGUUCUACACUCAGGAUAUAAACAAUUUAACAAAAAGGCAAUGGCUACUACAGUUUAGCGCUUUCGCUAGCGCUGGAGGAAUAUGAUGGAUAACUAGCGAUUCACGGCCAAAGGACCUGGGCAUGUUACCUUUGGCCGAGAAGUUUGCCAUCACGCUUACAAGGCUCGCACAACCAAAACCACUACCAAAACCACUACCAAAACCACUACCAAAACCA